rnacentral:rRNA from 1 species
CUCAGGAUGAACGCUGGCGGCGUUGCCUAACACAUGCAAGUCGAACGGACUUUUGAUGAAACCUAGUGAUUUGAAAGUUAGUGGCGGACGGGUGAGUAACGCGUGGGUAACCUGCCCUAUACCGGGGGAUAACACUUAGAAAUAGGUGCUAAUACCGCAUUAAGCGCACGGAGUCGCAUGACUUUGUGUGAAAAACUCCGGUGGUAUAGGAUGGACCCGCGUCUGAUUAGCUAGUUGGUGAGGUAACGGCCCACCAAGGCGACGAUCAGUAGCCGGCCUGAGAGGGUNACCGGCCACAUUGGGACUGAGACACGGCCCAAACUCCUACGGGAGGCAGCAGUGGGGAAUAUUGCACAAUGGGGGAAACCCUGAUGCAGCAACGCCGCGUGAGUGAAGAAGUUAUUCGUAAUGUAAAGCUCUAUCAGCAGGGAAGAAAAUGACGGUACCUGACUAAGAAGCCCCGGCUAACUACGUG